UUCCCGACAGGCCCCGCGGCGGGAGCGCCGGGCCGCAGCCUCGCGCCGCCCGCUCCCCUCCGGCUCCGUCCCGUCCCGCCGGGCCCUUCUGCCGCUCCCGCCAUGCGCCACAGCCUCACGCAGCUGCUGGCGGCCUCGGCCGGCGGGGCCAGCCCCUCGGGCGCCGUCUGGCCGCUGGCCGGAGCGGGACAGGCCCCGAGAGGGCGGGAUGGCGGCGGGGAAGGGGACCCGGGCCCCGCGCGGCCCAAACCGCAGCCGCCGCCGCGGCGGGAGCCCCCGGGCGCCUCGGAGCCCCGGCGGCAGGAGAAGGAGGCCGAGGCGCCCGGCAGCCCGCUGGAAGUGUGGGAGCAAGAGGACUGGUUCCCGGGGCUGGAGCUGGGAGACCUGCUGGAGGCAGCCCGGCCGGACUGGGACCUGGACGCGGAGCUGAGCGGCUGCUUCUGUGGGGACCCGGAACCGCUGCCCUCGCCGGGCCAGGGCCCGCGGCCGGCGGCGCCCGGGCGGAGGAGCGGCGGGGCCGGGAGUCGGCUGAAGGCGGCGGCGGCGGCGCGAUUGAACCGGCUGAAGAAGAAGCAGUAUGUGCUGGGGCUGGAAAGCCGCCUGCAGGGCCUGGCUGCCGAGAACCGGCAGCUGCGGGACCGCAACCGUGGCCUGAGCCGCCGCCUGCGAGAGCUGGAGCGGGAGAGCAGCUACCUGCGGGCUGUGCUGGCGAACCAGAGCGCGCUGGGGCAGCUCCUGAGCCGCCUGGCCGGGACCCGCGCCGGCGGGCUACAGCUCAGCACCAGCCUCUUCAGGGACACGGGCAGCCCCCGCCACCAGCACCUCCAGCCCGCCGGCGAGAGCAGCGACCACGACUACGCCCUGCCCAGCUCCCGGCCCCGCGGCCUGGAGGAGGCGGCGGUGGUGACUGAGACGGAGGAGGAGUGGGCGGCCCCCGGCGGGAUCUGCCUGCACGUGGACCGGGAUCAGGUGUCGGUGGAGUUCUGCUCCAUCUGUGCUCGGCGGGCAGCGGCCUCCUUCAAAAUGUAGGGUCAAGUACCUGCUGCAAGUACUCGUGGGGUUCUCACCCCUAAGGGCCUCGCGUCGCGGCGGAGGAAGCAGGCGAUGUUUCUCUUUUAGGUGGUUGCCCUGCCAGGCUCCGUUGUGUAGGGGUUAAAGAACAGUCGUUUUCCACCUCGCAACCUGGUAAGGAUCAAUAUAUUCCCAUAAUGUGGUAUCAGACAGCUUGCUUUGCUUAUCCCAGUCUCUUGUAAAUGACUGGUUCAGAAAAUUAUUUCUCUGGUCCUUGGCCUACUCUGCCAAAAUGUUUCUAGCUCUGGAUGACAACUAAUAGUAGAGGUUACAAUCACAUCUCUCAUUAGCUGUUUUCCUCUUUUCGUUUUUGUAACAAAUACACUGGCUACAUAGUAGCUACAUAGCAACCAAUGCAGGAGGUAGUUUUGAAUUUAAAAAAAAAAUGCUCAUGCCACUUGAAAUAGAAAUUUCCUAUUAAACCGCAUAUCUGAUGAGCUGAAAAGGGAAAAUAUGCUAAUAAGGGGGACGUGACAUUUAUAGCCUUUUAAUACAGGGGACUGUCCCAAAAGUCUUAAGUAAAUUGCUUUUUGAAUGAAAAGAAGGAAUUUGUGACCUGUUGGUUUAAAAUGCUGUGUAGUGUUAGGGAUGCACAGUACCUUUCAAAAGCCCUUCUCUAGCUUGCUCUAAUUCAUGAUGCAGUUUGACCUGAUGAAACAGAACCUGAGCACUGGUUAAAUCUCUAUAGAGGAGUCACUCUUGCAUGGACCUCUAACGAGAGUUAGGUUUGAAGAAUCAGUACAUCCAAGUAACUCAUUACCUUCCCAUAAGCAAAUCUCUGUGCCCAUGCACACUGAAGUUCCUAUGUUACUUCAGAGUAGCUUUAAAUUUUAAAAAUAUUGCAUGUAUACGCAUGUGCUUAAUUCUACUGUAGAGUUCUUAAUUUAGCCUCUUAGAGUAUCCAGAAAUCUAUAACCUGAUAUAAUUAAGCACAGUUUGGAGAUGAGCAAAUAUGUAUCUUGAGGCUAAUGAUUUGAAAAAUGCUCCAUAAUUGCUCCUGAGAUAGGAGGAAAAAUAGUUUGACAAACAGUGUGUGUUUUCUUGUACUAGUCAGUGUUUCUCCCAAUCACAGAAGAUGAGUGGGUUCUUUUUUCAGUUGUAUUAUAAUGUUUAAGUUGUUUAAAUGUAUGUCAGUUGGGGGAAGAAGGAUUGUGAAAAUGAUAAUAUGUAAAGUGAGGUUUCACAAAGAAUACUUUCUAAAACAGUUUCAUUUAUUAACUUCUUAAAAAAAAAAAGAUGCUAUUUAGUGUUUCUGAAGUCUUGUGUCUUAAAGCCUUAAAUUUUGUGUUUAAGGCUAAGUAGGUGAAAGCAUUUUCUCCCAGUCAUUUGCUUUAUUGGUGCUAGACCCUGUCACGUGUUCAUCAUGAGUUUGAUUUUUCUUUGUGAAACAUCACUGUGUGAUAAAGUAUAUGUGUAUUUAGCAUCCUUGUUUUUCUUUAUGCUAAAGUGGAUUCAGCUGUGUUGGGGCAGAAGAGACGGGACCAGCUGCUGGCCACAUUUCCUGCUUUAUUUUAAAAGGUAGUAUAAGAAAUGAGAAUAAAGAGGUAACAGGGCUUUUGCUGUCUUUGGUUAAAAAAAAAAAAAGUUGAAUGCUGGGAUUAUUUACUGUUAUCCAAGAUGAUUUUUUUUUACAAGGCAAUAUUCUAUAUCAAACAGGUUUUACUCCACUGUAUGCAGAAUUCCAUCUGUUCAGGGGAUAUUGCCAGCACAAAAGAGACUUAGUGGGAUAUGUGUGACCUUACACCUCUGUGGUGGCAUCAACAGGGCUGUUCAGUUUCAGUCUUAACUUGGGUAACUCUGCUGUAACUGAUGGGUUAUACCAGCGCACAGGCGUCAGAGUUAACCACCAGGACCUGCACUGACUGAUAUGCAAAAUGGAAAUAAUUUAGAUUUAACCUAAUCUCAACCUGCCUAGCUCAGAUUUCAUGAGCAUGCUUUAUUUUGCAGUUCAACGUGCUUGAGAAAAAGAGAAACACUAAUGUAGCGAUUAUGGGAUGUUCCAGUGGCAUUUUUACGGUUACUUCAGUGUAGGAGUGUUUUUUAAGUUAAUUUAAAUAUGCAUUUUUUCUUGUCGAAUCACUGCUGAAUGGCAGGGUCAGGGACAGUUCUUCUGGCCUCUGCUGUGAACCUGCACAAUGCUCUUGUCAUGACACGACCUGUGGCUGUGUCUGAGAGCAGCUGAUUUUCUGACAUGCAAAAUGAUGUAUUGUGGUACAAGAGCAAGGUCAAGUCCCAAGAAAGUCAGUGGCUGCAGGCAUUUCUAGUGCCUACUGAAUCAUAUUUAAACCAAAUAGAGGGGAGGAAGUUAUUUGAAACUCUAACCGACUGUACUAUCUGUAUGGUGUAUUAUUAAUGUAGCUUUUUGAAGUGAAAGCCUUGAAAUGACAUAACUUAAUACUUGAAAAUAUAUUGUAAAUGUUUCUUUGUAAUUAUGUGCCAUUCAGAUAAGAAUACAAUAUCAUAAUAAAAUCAGACUUGUUGAUCUUUCA